rnacentral:misc_RNA from 1 species
UACGAAGGGGGAUAGCGUUGUUCGGAAUUACUGGGCGUAAAGCGCGCGUAGGCGGAUUGUUAAGUCAGGGGUGAAAUGCCGAGGCUCAACCUAGGAACUGCCCUUGACACUGGCAAUCUGGAGUUCGGGAGAGGUGAGUGGAAUUCCGAGUGUAGAGGUGAAAUUCGUAGAUAUUCGGAGGAACACCAGAAGCGAAGGCGGCUCACUGGCCCGAGACUGACGCUCAGGUGCGAAAGCGUGGGGAGCAAACAGG